UCGAGAAUUUUUCUCAAUGGGGGAAACCCUGAAGGAGCGACGCCGCGUGGAGGAUGAAGGUCUUCGGAUUGUAAACUCCUGUCAUUUGGGAACAAGGUGCCGACGUUAACUGCGUCGGCAUUGAUAGUACCAGAAGAGGAAGAGACGGCUAACUCUGUGCCAGCAGCCGCGGUAAUACAGAGGUCUCAAGCGUUGUUCGGAUUCAUUGGGCGUAAAGGGUGCGUAGGCGGCGCGGUAAGUCGGGUGUGAAAUUUCGGAGCUUAACUCCGAAACUGCAUUCGAUACUGCCGUGCUCGAGGACUGGAGAGGAGACUGGAAUUUACGGUGUAGCAGUGAAAUGCGUAGAUAUCGUAAGGAAGACCAGUGGCGAAGGCGGGUCUCUGGACAGUUCCUGACGCUGAGGCACGAAGGCCAGGGGAGCAAACGG
rnacentral:rRNA from 1 species